ACCUGGUGAUGUUGGCAUUUACGAAGAAGCUCCUUAAAGCGCUCCCAAGUCUCAAAAAAAAAGUUCCCCAUCCAUUUGUGAGAAACUUGUGAUAGCUCUCUGAAGCU